UUCAUUUUUUCUUUUAUUAGCAGUCAAAUUGAUAAGUGAAUUAGUGAUGCCAUACAGAGGAACUGGUACAUGCUGGAAAAUGAUCCUAAAUUAACUGAAACUUUGGAUUGGAUCAACAGCAAGAAGUAGAAAUCCAAAUGGAGAAUUGGCUAACAGAACACUUCUCAUAAAGGAAUAAAAAGGCAGCCAUUGCUCUUACUGUAAAUUUAAAGUCUCUUUUUACUGCUUAGGAGGCCACACUCAUUACAUAUGUGAAUUAAUUACUUGCAGAAGUAUCUACGUAGUAUAUUACAUGAAUACAUAUGUGGUAGGUUUUACAUAGGCAAGAUGUCAGUUUAGGGAACAUCUUUAUUCUAUUCAGAUCGGCUUAGGCUGCCUUAUUACUCACGUUAGGAAAGUGCAUAAUAGCAAUAUAGAGGUUCUCAAGGUCUUGAAACUGUUAAACCUCCAACAGGGGGAGGAGACCGUGAUCUCCUCUUAUGUGCCAAAGCCCGCUGCAUACUACGCCUGGAAGCCCAAGGUCCAGCAGGAUUAAAUGAUAGAGUGGACCUGUCCUCUUUCCUAUAAUAUUUACUUUAUCACACGCAGCCCAGUCUCUUUUCUUCUGUAGUGGUAUUUUUUUACACUUAGUGAUAUUCACAUUUUUGUAAUAUUUCUCCUUUUUGUUUACACUCACCAUGACUACCAGAAGUCUUCACCUAUAUAUACACGGUGCACAGUGACGUCACUUGAGGCCAGAAGAAGUGCAUCAAUUGCAGGAAACCGCUGGCUAUAGCCUCUGAGCCCCCGUGCAUUUUAAGUAUCUCCCUCUGGACAAUUCCGGUGAUGUAAGGACUCGAUUACAGGACUUUCCGCUAACAGUGUCUGCAGUUUGGAACAUGAAUUGCAGCUGACAGAUUCCCUCUAAGGCCAGCUUUCAAAAUGUAAAGCUCAAGGGCAUUAAGCAGUGCUCCUUCAUGAAUAUCAAUGAUGAAAUUGUAAUGAAUCCUUCAUACUAUUAUGAUACAGCAUGCAGAUAUCAGCUUCAACAGAUCUGGUGAACGACUGACUUCCUCAAAAUAUUAAAAGCUCUAUUGAUGGAAAAGGGAACUCUUAUUGACAACUAUUGCAGUAAAGGAUCUAUUGUUUCGUCCAGUAUUUUUCUUAUCAAACCUAUCAUGUUUUGCAUCCACUUCCAAUUAUUAAACAAUAAAGAAAUAAGUCAGACUAUGGUGAAAGCCACAUAGAAUACUGUGCACAGUACUGAGCACCAGUGUACAAGAAAGAUAUAGUGGAGCUGGAGAGGGUUCAAAGACGGGUAACCAGGGUAAUACGGGGAAUGGGAGGACUACAGUACCAAGAAAGAUUAGCAAAAUUAGGGUUAUUUAGUUUAGAAAAAAGAAGACUUGGGGGAGACCUAAUAACUAUGUAUAAAUACAUCAGGGGACAGUACAGAGAUCUCUCCCAUGAUCUAUUUAUACCCAGGACACUCUCUAACAAGGGGGCAUCCUCUACGUUUAGAGGAAAGAAGGUUUCUACACCAGCACAGACGGGUGUUCUUUACUG